AACGUAUCCGUCACCCCGGCUUGACUUCCGGCCAGAACGCAUCCCACAGUAAAGCCACCUUAACGCAUUAUGAUCCCUGAUCUGUGACUGAAAGCAGGAUCUCGGCCAGCCCUGGCGAGUGCUGAAGCUCUCCCCAUAAUGGUGACAGAGACAUGGUACCCUUGGAGACGGCCGGUCCACAUCCCGUGGUCAGAACCCUGCCACCUUUCAUGGGGUCAAAGCAUCCUGCUCUGCAGCCUGGACACACCAUCUCUGCUGAGUACCAUACCUAACUACCUGGGCAAGGCUGCAACCCCAGGAAUUUACCAGGCAUUCAUUAUCGUCUCUUUUCCCCUCGUUCUGUUUAAAUGACGGCUGUUCAAAUGUGACAAAUCCUGAAGGAGGUAGGAAGGAUACAGACCAGAUACCGUGUUUUAUUUAUUUAUUUUCUCUCUCUUAUCUUUAAAGUUUUCUUACUUCUGUUUGUCAAACUCCUAGUGACCCGUCUGUGAUGCUAAUGAAAGCUGACAGCGCACAAAAGACUUUUUCGGUGGCGCUGUGCUCUGCGAGUCCACCAAUCACCUCUGUGGACCUUGUGAAUAUAGCCGGUCUGCUCCCCCCGAGCCAGGCCAAGGCUCCUCUGCGUCCUGGAGGUGACUUGGUUAGAUCACAGGUCUUGUUCUGUGUUUCUGGUUGUCCUCAGUGAAUGAAAGGAUGGCAAGACAACUGGAAAAACUGGAUAUUUUUCAUUUUCCAGUGCUUGUUUUUCAUGUGUUAAUAAGGUAAGCUCUAAAAUUGUAAAUUAUGAACGUUUCUCUGUACUAAUAUCUUCCUGUUUUAAAUUAGCAAUUGAUGUGAUUUUCUUAAAUGAUUGUCCAUGGGUGAAUAAAAUUCCUUGUUGAGAGGUAAGUUAAAAGUGACACUCUGAUCUUCCUAGUCCUCAACCCCCCCCCCCCCCCUUAAGUUGAUAGCUGAGAAUUGACCCCCAAAGUUAGGUUGCAAACUGAAGAACCUUCCCAGCACAUUCCCAUAGCCAUAAUUGAUGGAUAUUUUCCCAGACUUCAACUAGUGCUGGGGUCUCCAACUUGUCAACAGGCUGCGCCAGAACGUCAGCUAACAUCAACUG